CCGGCGCACGGGUGGGUAACACGUAUGCAACCUGCCUGCCACAGUGGGAUAAUCCGGAGAAAUCCGGUCUAAUACCGCAUGACGCGGGAAAGGCGCAUGCCUUUUCCGCCAAAGGAGGCGACUCCGGUGCCGGCUGGGCACGCGUGACAUUAGCUAGUUGGCGGGGCGACGGCCCACCAAGGCGACGAUGUCUAAGGGUUCUGAGAGGAAGGUCCCCCACACUGGUACUGAGACACGGACCAGACUCCUACGGGAGGCAGCAG
rnacentral:rRNA from 1 species